UACGGGGGGGGGCAAGCGUUGUUCGGAAUUACUGGGCGUAAAGGGCUCGUAGGCGGCCAACUAAGUCCGACGUGAAAUCCCAAGGCUUAACCUUGGAACUGCGUCGGAUACUGGAUGGCUUGAAUUCGGGAGAGGGAUGCAGAAUUCCAGGUGUAGCGGUGAAAUGCGUAGAUAUCUGGAGGAACACCGAUGGCGAAGGCAGUUCUCUGGGCCGUAACUGACGCUGAGGAGCGAAAGCGUGGGGAGCGAACAGG
rnacentral:rRNA from 1 species